UACGUAGGCAGCAAGCGUUGUUCGGAAUUACUGGGCGUAAAGCGAGUGUAGGUGGUUGUCCAAGUUGGAUGUGAAAGCCUUGAGCUCAACUCAAGAAAUGCAUUCAGGACUGGAUGACUAGAGGACCGGAGAGGAUAGUGGAAUUCCCAGUGUAGUGGUGAAAUACGUAGAUAUUGGGAAGAACACCAGUGGCGAAGGCGGCUAUCUGGACGGUUUCUGACACUAAGACUCGAAAGCGUGGGGGAGCAAACAGG
rnacentral:rRNA from 1 species